UUCUUUUAGUUAAAAUUAAAAGUAAAUUCUGCCCUAUGAUUAUUUAAAUGGCUGCAGUAUUCUAACUGUGCAAAGGUAGCAUAAUAAUUAGUCAUUUAAUUGUUGACUUGAAUGAAUGGAUAAAUGAGGAAUUAAUUAUAUUAAUUUUACUUUUAAAAUUUUAUUUUUAAGUAAAAAAGCUUAAAUUAUUUUUCUGGGACGAUAAGACCCUAUAGAACUUUAUUAUAUAUUUUUUUAUAUAAAUUUUGUUAAAUUAUUAUAUAUAAAUUAAUUUUAUUUUUUUGUUGGGGUGACGAAUAAAUAUAAACUUUAUUUUUAAAAUUCAUUAAUUUAUGAUUUUUUUGAUCCAAUUAUAUUUUGAUAUUAAGAUUAAGUUACCUUAGGGAUAACAGCGUAAUUUUAAUGGGGAGUUCAUAUUUAUAUUAAAGUUUGCGACCUCGAUGUUGAAUUAAGAUAAUUUUAGGGGGCAGGUUUUCUAUAUUUAAGUCUGUUCGACUUUUAAAUUCUU
rnacentral:rRNA from 1 species